UACGUAGGGGGCAAGCGUUAUCCGGAUUUACUGGGUGUAAAGGGAGCGUAGGCGGCAUGGCAAGUCAGAUGUGAAAGGCAUGGGCUCAACCCGUGGACUGCAUUUGAAACUGUCAGGCUUGAGUGCAGGAGAGGCAAGUGGAAUUCCUAGUGUAGCGGUGAAAUGCGUAGAUAUUAGGAGGAACACCAGUGGCGAAGGCGACUUGCUGGACUGUAACUGACGCUGAGGCUCGAAAGCGUGGGGAGCGAACAGGAUUAGAUACC
rnacentral:rRNA from 1 species